rnacentral:rRNA from 1 species
GACGAACGCUGGCGGCGUGCCUAAUACAUGCAAGUAGAACGCACAGGAUGCACCGUAGUUUACUACACCGUAUUCUGUGAGUUGCGAACGGGUGAGUAACGCGUAGGUAACCUGCCUGGUAGCGGGGGAUAACUAUUGGAAACGAUAGCUAAUACCGCAUAAGAACAUUUACUGCAUGGUAGAUGUUUAAAAGGUGCAAAUGCAUCACUACCAGAUGGACCUGCGUUGUAUUAGCUAGUAGGUGAGGUAACGGCUCACCUAGGCGACGAUACAUAGCCGACCUGAGAGGGUGAUCGGCCACACUGGGACUGAGACACGGCCCAGACUCCUACGGGAGGCAGCAGUAGGGAAUCUUCGGCAAUGGGGGGAACCCUGACCGAGCAACGCCGCGUGAGUGAAGAAGGUUUUCGGAUCGUAAAGCUCUGUUGUUAAGGAAGAACAAGUGUGAGAAUGGAAAGUUCAUACUGUGACGGUACUUAACCAGAAAGGGACGGCUAACUACGUGCCAGCAGCCGCGGUAAUACGUAGGUCCCGAGCGUUGUCCGGAUUUAUUGGGCGUAAAGCGAGCGCAGGCGGUUAGAUAAGUCUGAAGUUAAAGGCAGUGGCUCAACCAUUGUAGGCUUUGGAAACUGUUUAACUUGAGUGCAGAAGGGGAGAGUGGAAUUCCAUGUGUAGCGGUGAAAUGCGUAGAUAUAUGGAGGAACACCGGUGGCGAAAGCGGCUCUCUGGUCUGUAACUGACGCUGAGGCUCGAAAGCGUGGGGAGCGAACAGG